AUUGAACGCUGGCGGCAGGCCUAACACAUGCAAGUCGAACGAGUGGCGGACGGGUGAGUAAUGUCUGGGAAACUGCCCGAUGGAGGGGGAUAACUACUGGAAACGGUAGCUAAUACCGCAUACCAUCGGAUGUGCCCAGAGGGGAUGAGCUAGUAGGUUGGGUAACGGCUCACCUAGGCGACGAUCCCGAGCUGGUCUGAGAGUAUGACCAGCAACACGGGAACGGAGACACGGUCCAGACUCCUACGGGAGGCAGCAGUGGGGAAUAUUGCACAAUGGGCGCAAGCCUGAUGCAGCCCUGCGGCGUGUAUGAAGAAGGCCUUCGGGUUGGAAAGUACUUUCAGCGAGGAGGCGGUACUCGCAGAAGAAGCACCGGCUAACUCCGUGCCAGCCGCCGAGGUAAUAC
rnacentral:rRNA from 1 species